rnacentral:rRNA from 1 species
GAUGAACGCUGGCGGCGUGCCUAACACAUGCAAGUCGAGCGAGAUUAGUGCGAGUGGAGACUUCGGUCAAAGCGACCACUAUGAAAGCGGCGGACGGGUGAGUAACGCGUGAGCAAUCUGCCCCAUACAAAGGGAUACCCACUGGAAACGGUGAUUAAUACCUUAUAAGACCACAGAGUCGCAUGGCUCGGGGGUCAACGAUUUAUCGGUAUGGGAUGAGCUCGCGUCUGAUUAGCUAGUUGGUGAGGUAAUGGCUCACCAAGGCGACGAUCAGUAGCCGACCUGAGAGGGUGAACGGCCACACUGGAACUGAGACACGGUCCAGACUCCUACGGGAGGCAGCAGUGGGGAAUAUUGCACAAUGGGCGCAAGCCUGAUGCAGCAACGCCGCGUGAAUGAUGAAGGCCUUCGGGUCGUAAAGUUCUGUCCAAAGGGAAGAAUACAGUGACGGUACCUUUGGAGGAAGCCCCGGCUAACUACGUGCCAGCCGCCGCAGUAA